rnacentral:rRNA from 1 species
AUACGGAGGGUGCAAGCGUUACUCGGAAUCACUGGGCGUAAAGCGCGCGCAGGCGGCUUGAUAAGUUGGAUGUGAAAGCCUACGGCUCAACCGUAGAACUGCAUCCAAAACUGUCAAGCUAGAGUCUGGGAGGGGAAGAUGGAAUUAGUUGUGUAGGGGUAAAAUCCGUAGAGAUAACUAGGAAUACCAAAAGCGAAGGCAAUCUUCUGGAACACUACUGACGCUGAGGCGCGAAGGCGUGGGGAGCAAACAGGAUUAGAUACCCCAGUAGUCC